GUCGUCGGUUCCCGCAAGGGACCAGAGGGAAUGCGGUGAGGGCCAACAGCGCCCGAUUCCGCGGCUGCCCCCGCAACUGUAAGCGGAGAGCCUUUCCCCAAAAGCCACUGGAGCAUUCGCUUCGGGAAGGCGGGGAAGGGCUGUGACCCGCGAGCCAGGAGACCUGCCGCCGGCCA
rnacentral:ncRNA from 1 species